AUGGAUGCCGCGGGUGGUGCCGGUGGGGCGGCCGUCGUCGACAAAGCGGGCGGGCAGGCGCCGCCCGAGACGCUGGUUGACUGGGCGCUGAAGAUCCUCGACACGGCCGACCCCGACGAGAAGGCCCGGCUGGGCGACCUCGCCGCCACCGAGUGGCUGCGCGGCGCCAUCCCGCUCGCCUACGACCCGGCGCAGCCCGCGCGCGCCCCGCCGGACCGCCCGGCGCGGAGCGACGCGGUGCGGCUGCUCCCGCCCUCCCAGGCGCCGAAGCUGGGGAAGGGCGGCAGCGCGCAGAGCCGGCUGGCGAUGCUGCACUCGCUGGCGCACAUCGAGAGCUGGGCCGUCGACCUCUCCUGGGACAUCGUCGCCCGCUUCGGCGCGCAGCUCGGCAUGCCCCGCGGCUUCUUCGACGACUUCGCCCGCGUCGCGCAGGACGAAGGGCGGCACUUCGCGGUGCUCUCCGCGCGGCUCCGGGAGCUGGGCUCGCACUACGGCGCGCUCCCCGCGCACGACGGCCUCUGGGACUCGGCCAUGCGCACCUCGCACUGCCUCCUCGCCCGCCUAGCCGUCGAGCACUGCGUCCACGAGGCCAGGGGAUUAGAUGUCCUUCCAACCACCAUAUCAAGAUUCCGUGCUGGUGGGGAUGAAGAAACAGCCAAACUGCUUGAAGACAUUAUUUAUCCAGAAGAGAUAACACACUGUGCAGCUGGUGUUAGAUGGUUUAGAUACCUGUGCCUCCGGUCCCUCGCCAGCGAUCCAAUUGCGCCUCCAGUUCCACAGCCUAAACCCCAAUGCUCUGAGCUGCCCGAAGGUGGGAUAGGUGAUGAUAAUAAGACUUCUCAAGCGGUGCGUGAUGGAUUGGCAGAUAAGCCGACGGAAGAUAUUAAUAGCCAUGACGAGGCGGUUCAACAAGUGGAAGAUGGACUGGCAAGGUGCGCCCUUGGCGCCGAUGAAAUGGCAAUCAUCGAGAGAUUCCACAGCAUCGUUAGAGAGCAUUUCCGGGGACCCCUGAAGCCCCCCUUCAAUGCGGAGGCUAGGAAGGCAGCUGGAUUUGGGCCUGCCUGGUAUGAACCCCUAGCGGUGAAGGAGGUAGAGACACAAGCAACCGAGCAAAGUGAGUAG
rnacentral:rRNA from 1 species